AAAUAUAACUAGGGGGGCCAGAUAGGCUGGCUGAGAUUAAGAACCUUAAUUCUUUGACCCUUUAACCUGAUCUAGGUAAUACUAGCGUAGGGAAGUUGCGUGGUGGAGCU
rnacentral:ncRNA from 2 species